rnacentral:rRNA from 1 species
AACGCUGGCGGCAGGCUUAACACAUGCAAGUCGAGCGGAGAUGAGGUGCUUGCACCUUAUCUUAGCGGCGGACGGGUGAGUAAUGCUUAGGAAUCUGCCUAUUAGUGGGGGACAACAUUCGAAAGGAAUGCUAAUACCGCAUACGUCCUACGGGAGAAAGCAGGGGAUCUUCGGACCUUGCGCUAAUAGAUGAGCCUAAGUCGGAUUAGCUAGUUGGUGGGGUAAAGGCCUACCAAGGCGACGAUCUGUAGCGGGUCUGAGAGGAUGAUCCGCCACACUGGGACUGAGACACGGCCCAGACUCCUACGGGAGGCAGCAGUGGGGAAUAUUGGACAAUGGGGGGAAACCCUGAUCCAGCCAUGCCGCGUGUGUGAAGAAGGCCUUAUGGUUGUAAAGCACUUUAAGCGAGGAGGAGGCUACUGAGACUAAUACUCUUGGAUAGUGGACGUUACUCGCAGAAUAAGCACCGGCUAACUCUGUGCCAGCAGCCGCGGUAAUACAGAGGGUGCGAGCGUUAAUCGGAUUUACUGGGCGUAAAGCGUGCGUAGGCGGCUUUUUAAGUCGGAUGUGAAAUCCCCGAGCUUAACUUGGGAAUUGCAUUCGAUACUGGGAAGCUAGAGUAUGGGAGAGGAUGGUAGAAUUCCAGGUGUAGCGGUGAAAUGCGUAGAGAUCUGGAGGAAUACCGAUGGCGAAGGCAGCCAUCUGGCCUAAUACUGACGCUGAGGUACGAAAGCAUGGGGAGCAAACAGGAUUAGAUACCCUGGUAGUCCAUGCCGUAAACGAUGUCUACUAGCCGUUGGGGCCUUUGAGGCUUUAGUGGCGCAGCUAACGCGAUAAGUAGACCGCCUGGGGAGUACGGUCGCAAGACUAAAACUCAAAUGAAUUGACGGGGGCCCGCACAAGCGGUGGAGCAUGUGGUUUAAUUCGAUGCAACGCGAAGAACCUUACCUGGCCUUGACAUACUAGAAACUUUCCAGAGAUGGAUUGGUGCCUUCGGGAAUCUAGAUACAGGUGCUGCAUGGCUGUCGUCAGCUCGUGUCGUGAGAUGUUGGGUUAAGUCCCGCAACGAGCGCAACCCU